CAUAAAGGAGCCCUUGACAUGUAGUGGCCCCUCAAUAAGUAUUUUUUGAAUUAUUGAAUGCUAUGCCUUUCUUUCUUAUUAUACCAGAAAUCUGAGAGGACACAAGAGGCUAGACCUGCCAUCUUACCCCCUCAGGGAGCCUGAGACUGAGCCAACAGAGCACAAAGCAUGCGGCAGGUAGAGACACGUGAUUAUAUCUGGGAGCCCUGAAUCUUGCCAUGCCUGAAGCCAGAGCUGCCCUUGGUCUUCUCACUGCCAUGAGCCAGUUCAGCAUCAAGUGGAGACGAGGAGAGAGUUGGGGGUUGGCAGUGAAGAUAGGAGCGGCCUUCCCCAGGGAACAGGAGGCUCCUUCUUGACUGCUUGAACCUACAACCAGAAAUGCUUAGUGCUGGAAUUUCCCUGGAGAUGGGGGCUGCUGGAAGCAGAAGCCAAGCUUCAGGGACCCCAUACUGGAAACCUACAUGAGUUCAAAUCCUGACUCGGCCACUUACUACUCUGCAUCCUGGGGAAAUAUGGAACAAAGAAUACAAGACUUAGCAGAGAGAAACGUCUACUCCAUGGAGGCACUCAACCAUGAGAACAUUUUUGAAAGAUAGAGAUGGGCACUGAACGAGGGAGGAAAUGCCUGAGCUGAGCAGACUGGAGCAGGAGACUCUGCUGGCUGGCUUGAUGAAGUCAAGCCGUGUUGAAGAAGCCGCCGUGGCAAGGAGCUGCAAGUAGACCCCCGUUAUCAUGGGCGGCCUCUAUGGCCUGCAGAUGGAAUGCAGCUGAUGGCCAGCCAAAACCGAGGCCCACAGUCUUACCGUGAUAAGAAAGUCAACUCCUCCAGCAAGCUAAAGAAGCUUGGAAGCAGACUUUCCUCCAAUCAAGCUUCCAGAUCAGAACGAACCCAGUGGACAACUUGAGUGCAACCUUACAAGACCCUGAGCAGAGGAGCCAGCUAAGCUGUGUCCAGACCCUUAACCCACAGGAAAUGUGAUAUAAAAAUGUAUACUUUCAAAGCCUCUAAAUUUCUGAUAAUUUGUUACAGCAAUAGAAAACAAAUAUAUCCCCCACUAGACUAUAAGCUCUGUGCGGGCAGGAACCACGUCCAUGGCGUACCCCUCAUCGUACCUCCAGCAACCUACAGCGUGCUUCACAAAUAUUUAUUGACUGGAUGUGCAUCAUCCCUACAACACUUAUAAGCACUCCAUAAGGAGGAUCAUUUUUACUCGAGUUUUCCUCGAGUGAAUCCAAGAUUCACACAGAAAGAGAAGAGACAGGACUUGAAUGAGCAUUUCCUCAGACCAGACCCCAAGCUCACUCUCUCACAUCUGUAGGAACAGUGCGGGCUUUCCAUCCCAGCAGGCCCAGACAUUACUGUCCCUCACCCACACUCACGGCAGACACAUCACUGAUAAAUCCCUGUAUGCUCUCAGGCUGAGUCCAUUGCAAACCUUCUCAACUCAGCAUUUUGGUAGCCACGAGCAAUUGAUCAGAGCUGGCCCAAGAGAGGAAACCUAUUUAUCAUCUGAGCUCUCAGCUCUUAGUUCUCUUCAUGUCUCCGUGCAGCUGAAUUUGGGAUCUAUCCCUAGGAAUGUGCAGGAAAUAAUAGGAAAGCAAUGAAAGGCUGGGCAUAGAUAGAGUGGUACCCAGGAAA